GUAGGUGAACCUGCGGAAGGAUCAUUACCACGUAUCCACGUUAUCAACCCCCAGCGCACUUGUUUUCAACGCCCGGCUUUCCUUCCCAUGGCCUUAGUACAUACAGUUGAGCAAUCUAUGGCGACACUGUAGCUUUGAAGCGUUCAUUCGCUGCUUGCUAUAACUCGAACGCAACUGUUGUAUGACAUUACAUGAGUUGGAAGUACGGUAAAAUCCGGGCUAUCUAAAUAGGUGCCCAUUUAACACCUCGGGUAGCUAGGAGAAACCCACUAUUAACAUUUAUCACACCUUUUUGCUAGUUGACUUUUUAUGUUGUUUUCAGCGUGAUGAACUUCAUGUUGGAUACACACGUUUAAUUACUUGAACGUUAAAUUUUACAACUCUUAGCAAUGGAUAUCUAGGUUCUC
rnacentral:misc_RNA from 1 species